rnacentral:lncRNA from 1 species
GUGGUUUUCUAGAUGUUUCUUGUUAAAGACUGUACGUGUUGAGGACUAUACAUGCCCUCUAGAUGUUUUUGUUGAAGACUGUAUGUUGCCCAUUACGUGUUUUUGUUGGACUAUAUGCUGCUCUUUAUAUGUCUUAUGUUCACCUCUAGACGUCUAUUGAUGAAAACUAUAAGUGACCCUAUAGAUGUCUAUUGUUGAAGAUUAUAAGUGUUCCGAUAGAUGUAUGUUGCCCUUUAUAUGUCUUUUGUUUAUUUUAUCCUUUGGUUUAACGUUUCAUAGAUGUUUACCAAACAACUUCAUUAAUUCAUUGUAUGAAGUGAGAAAAAGCCUAUGAAGGUCGAUGAACCAUCUCUCAAUGUCAAACACGCAGCCUCCUUUGAUUUUGUCGGAUUCAGAUUCUUUUGUAAAAGAAGGUGACCCUGAG